rnacentral:lncRNA from 1 species
AGGUGGGCCUAAUGUAAUCACAAGAGUCCUUAAAUGGGGAAGAAGGGAGCGGAAGAGUCAGGAUCAGAUACAGCAGAGGGAGAAAGACUUGCCCGGCUGGUGCUGGCCUUGAAGGUAGAAGGGGCUGUGACCUAAGGAAUGUGGGCGGCCUCUAGGAGCUGGAAAAGGCAAGACGUGGAUUCUCUCCUGGAGCCUCCAGAAGGGCUCCCAGGCCUGCCGACACCUUGAUAUUAGCCCAGAGAGACCCUUUUCAGACUUCUGACCUCCAGAGUUGUGAGACGUGGAUGCUGUUUGGACCACAGGCUGAGGCCACGCCCUGCAGAAGCUGGAGGAACGAGCUGGAGGGAGCAGAGCCACAGAGGAGCCUUGGAAUUUCUGCCUUCACGUUUUGACUUGAGUGCUGGACCUGUUGACAAAGGGGUAGGUCCUGUAGCAACAGCUCGGAGUUCAGAGUCUAGAUGGAAUGAGCGAGUCCUGGAAGAUUAGCCCUGAGCUAACAUCUGCCGCCAACCCUCCUCUUUUUUGCUGAGGAAGACCGGCCCGGAGCUAACAUCUGUGCCCAUCUUCCUCUACUUUAUAUGUGGGAUGCCUACCACAGCAUGGCUUGCCAAGCAGUGCCAGGUCCGCACCCGGGAUCCCAACUGGCGAACCCCAGGCUGCCGAAGUGGAACGUGCAAACUUAACUGCUGUGCCACUAGGCUGCCCCUAAUUUUAAUUUUUAUUCUUGCAUUUUGCUGUUGUAUUUGCUCUUUCUUGAUCAACAAAUUAAUAUUGACUCGUUGAAAACUACAGAAAAGUUACUGAAGAAAAAAACCCCACAAUCCUGCAAUGUAGAGACAAUCCCUAUUAAUACUUUGGCAGUUUCUUUCUAGUCUUUGUUCUAACACAGAUGUUUUCCUUUAUUUGUUUGCAGUCAAGUUCUACAAACAUGGUUUUGCAUGUAGCUUGUCUUUUCUGCAUAACAUUCUGUCACCAUGUUUCCCCAUAGCUUUACCACCUCUUUGUGAGCAUGAUUUUUAAUGGUGGCCUAACAUUCCAUUGUAUCG